AUGUUUAUGGACAUGAUGCCUGGUUUUGGAUUUUGUUACAGAAAAGCUUCUGUUAUCAAGUCAUUUAUAAGUGAAAAUAUGCUUUCGAUAGGGAUCUCCACAUCUAUAUUGUCUUUAUGGUGCUCCAAUCACUGGCAGCUGUUUGUUAUUUGUCCUCAAGAUAAUGAUAUCUUUUGGUUUUGUUCAUUACACACAAAACCCAAGAAACGUACUAAGAACUGA